UGACUUUCAGAGAUGGAUUGGUGCCUUCGGGAACAUUGAGACAGGUGCUGCAUGGCUGUCGUCAGCUCGUGUCGUGAGAUGUUGGGUUAAGUCCCGUAACGAGCGCAACCCUUGUCCUUAGUUACCAGCACGUUAUGGUGGGCACUCUAAGGAGACUGCCGGUGACAAACCGGAGGAAGGUGGGGAUGACGUCGAGUCAUCAUGGCCCUUACCGCCUGGGCUACACACGUGCUACAAUGGUCGGUACGAAGGGUUGCCAAGCCGCUAGGUGGAUCUAAUCCCAAAAAACCGAUCGUAGUCCAGAUCGCACUCUGCAACUCUGCUGCAUGGAUUCCGAAUCCCUAGUAAUCUCUAAUCAAAAUG
rnacentral:rRNA from 1 species